CGGAGAACACAACCUCUCCGAUCCCACCGAUCUUGAUCGCAAGAUGGGUUCUCAGGUGUCUUCAAUCAUCGGUCACUGCCUCGAGGGGCUUAGCUUAUGGACGCUGAAUCCUAGCACUACCUUGCUGGAGUGUAUGGAAGUGUUUAGCAAAGGGAUACAUCGAGCGUUGGUGCCAGUGGAGAGCAGCAUAGAGAGCAGUAACACUAUCUCGGGAGUCGAGUUGGUUGAGUCUUCCUCUGCUUACAGGAUGCUUACUCAGAUGGAUCUCUUGCGGUUCCUUAGAGACCAUCACUCUGAUGACCUCAAGGAUGUUCUGUCACGCUCUAUAUCUGAUCUCCGUAUUAAGUACGUUUUUUUUAAAAGGGGGUUUCAUAUUUUAAGUAGGUUAUUGGAGUACUUUUUUUCGUGAAUUUAUUCGAGAUGAGAUUUCGAUCUUUUAAACUAAGAUAAUUUAUGCUUAUGGACGCUGAAUCCUAGCACUACCUUGCUGGAGUGUAUGGAAGUGUUUAGCAAAGGGAUACAUCGAGCGUUGGUGCCAGUGGAGAGCAGCAUAGAGAGCAGUAACACUAUCUCGGGAGUCGAGUUGGUUGAGUCUUCCUCUGCUUACAGGAUGCUUACUCAGAUGGAUCUCUUGCGGUUCCUUAGAGACCAUCACUCUGAUGACCUCAAGGAUGUUCUGUCACGCUCUAUAUCUGAUCUCCGAGCUGUUAACGAGUCCGUUUACGCCGUGACGGCGAGUACGAGUGUUUCCAAUGCCAUCAAGUCUAUGAAGGCUGCUCUGCUCAACGCAGUCCCCAUCGUUCACGCCCCUGAAGUAGCUGAAGAGGACCAUCUUCAGCUUAUCAAUGUAAGCUCUUCAUUUUUUCAGAUAUAUUCUUGAUUAUGUAUUAUGUAGAGUGUACUAUUCUCCAUUGUGUGUUUUGAGAUUGCAGGGG
rnacentral:lncRNA from 1 species